rnacentral:rRNA from 1 species
CAGCAGCCGCGGUAAUACGGAGGGUGCAAGCGUUAUCCGGAAUCAUUGGGUUUAAAGGGUCCGUAGGCGGGCGAUUAAGUCAGAGGUGAAAUCCCACAGCUUAACUGUGGAACUGCCUUUGAUACUGGUCGUCUUGAGUUAUAGUGAAGUAGAUAGAAUAUGUAGUGUAGCGGUGAAAUGCUUAGAUAUUACAUAGAAUACCGAUUGCGAAGGCAGUCUACUAACUAUACACUGACGCUAAUGGACGAAAGCGUGGGGAGCGAACAGGAUUAGAUACCCUGGUAGUCCACGCCGUAAACGAUGGUCACUAGUUGUUGGGGUCUUGUACCUCAGUGAUUAAGAGAAAUUGAUAAGUGACCCACCUGGGGAGUACGAUCGCAUGAUUGAAACUCAAAGGAAUUGACGGGGGCCCGCACAAGCCGUGGAACAUGUGGUUUAAUUCGAUGAUACGCGAGGAACCUUACCAGGGCUUAAAUGUAAGUUGCAUGAUUUAGAGAUAGAUCUUUCUUCGGACUACUUACAAGGUGCUGCAUGGUUGUCGUCAGCUCGUGCCGUGAGGUGUCAGGUUAAGUCCUAUAACGAGCGCAACCCCUACCGUUAGUUGCCAGCAUGUUAUGAUGGGUACUCUAGCGGGACUGCCGGUGCAAACCGAGAGGAAGGUGGGGAUGACGUCAAAUCAUCACGGCCCUUACGUUCUGGGCUACACACGUGCUACAAUGGU